rnacentral:rRNA from 1 species
AUUGAACGCUGGCGGCAGGCCUAACACAUGCAAGUCGAACGGUAACAGGAAGCAGCUUGCUGCUUUGCUGACGAGUGGCGGACGGGUGAGUAAUGUCUGGGAAACUGCCCGAUGGAGGGGGAUAACUACUGGAAGCGGUAGCUAAUACCGCAUAACGUCGCAAGACCAAAGAGGGGGACCUUAGGGCCUCUUGCCAUCGGAUGUGCCCAGAUGGGAUUAGCUAGUAGGUGGGGUAACGGCUCACCUAGGCGACGAUCCCUAGCUGGUCUGAGAGGAUGACCAGCCACACUGGAACUGAGACACGGUCCAGACUCCUACGGGAGGCAGCAGUGGGGAAUAUUGCACAAUGGGCGCAAGCCUGAUGCAGCCAUGCCGCGUGUAUGAAGAAGGCCUUCGGGUUGUAAAGUACUUUCAGCGGGGAGGAAGGGAGUAAAGUUAAUACCUUGGCUCAUUGACGUUACCCGCAGAAGAAGCACCGGCUAACUCCGUG